rnacentral:misc_RNA from 1 species
GAUGAAGAACGUAGCGAAAUGCGAUAAGUAGUGUGAAUUGCAGACUUUAGUGAAUCAUCGAAUCUUUUAACGCACAUUGCGCCCCUUGGUAUUCCAUUGGGCAUGCCUGUUCGAGCGUCAUUUACACCCUCAAGCCUAGCUUGGUGUUGGGCGUUGUCCGCAAGGACUCGCCUCAAAUUCAUUGGCAGCGGCAUCGUCAGCUUCUCGCGCAGCACAUUGCGCUUCAGAAGGCUUCUGGCGGGCUCGCGUCCACUAAGAUACCACCCAGUUUGACCUCGAAUCAGGUAGGGAUACCCGCUGAACUUAAGCAUAUCAAUAAGCGGAGGA